rnacentral:lncRNA from 1 species
AGAUAAGAUUCUUUUCACUUCUCAACCAGAGGUUUGGAGAUACACUUGGUCCCAUGGUUUGAAGGAAUGUAUGGGCACAUCCAGGAGUUCCUAAUUGCACAUACCUUGCCAUUGUUCCGAUUCUUUAGCCAGUACAUUACCAAACAGUGUAGGGCUGUUCUUGAAUCCUUGGGGAAACACCAUCCAACACUGCUGGGUCUUUGUCUCUGUUAUUGGGCUUUCCCAUGCAAAAGCAAACAAUUUCUGGCUUUG